GGGUAACCUGCCUGUAAGACUGGGAUAACUCCGGGAAACCGGAGCUAAUACCGGAUAGUUCCUUGAACCGCAUGGUUCAAGGAUGAAAGACGGUUUCGGCUGUCACUUACAGAUGGACCCGCGGCGCAUUAGCUAGUUGGUGGGGUAAUGGCUCACCAAGGCGACGAUGCGUAGCCGACCUGAGAGGGUGAUCGGCCACACUGGGACUGAGACACGGCCCAGACUCCUACGGGAGGCAGCAGUAGGGAAUCUUCCGCAAUGGACGAAAGUCUGACGGAGCAACGCCGCGUGAGUGAUGAAGGUUUUCGGAUCGUAAAGCUCUGUUGUUAGGGAAGAACAAGUGCGAGAGUAACUGCUCGCACCUUGACGGUACCUAACCAGAAAGCCACGGCUAACUACGUGCCAGCAGCCGCGGUAAUACGUAGGUGGCAAGCGUUGUCCGGAAUUAUUGGGCGUAAAGGGCUCGCAGGCGGUUUCUUAAGUCUGAUGUGAAAGCCCCCGGCUCAACCGGGGAGGGUCAUUGGAAACUGGGAAACUUGAGUGCAGAAGAGGAGAGUGGAAUUCCACGUGUAGCGGUGAAAUGCGUAGAGAUGUGGAGGAACACCAGUGGCGAAGGCGACUCUCUGGUCUGUAACUGACGCUGAGGAGCGAAAGCGUGGGGAGCGAACAGGAUUAGAUACCCUGGUAGUCCACGCCGUAAACGAUGAGUGCUAAGUGUUAGGGGGUUUCCGCCCCUUAGUGCUGCAGCUAACGCAUUAAGCACUCCGCCUGGGGAGUACGGUCGCAAGACUGAAACUCAAAGGAAUUGACGGGGGCCCGCACAAGCGGUGGAGCAUGUGGUUUAAUUCGAAGCAACGCGAAGAACCUUACCAGGUCUUGACAUCCUCUGACAACCCUAGAGAUAGGGCUUUCCCUUCGGGGACAGAGUGACAGGUGGUGCAUGGUUGUCGUCAGCUC
rnacentral:rRNA from 1 species